ACUCCUACGGGAGGCAGCAGUCUAGAGGCUUCGGCAAUGGGGGAAACCCUGACCGAGCGACGCCGCGUGGAGGAUGAAGGCCUUCGGGUUGUAAACUCCUUUCGGCAGGAAGAAAGGCUUUGGUGGUGAACCAAGGAUUGAUCGACCUGCGGAAGAAGCCCCGGCUAACUUCGUGCCAGCAGCCGCGGUAAUACGAAGGGGCGAGCGUUAUUCGGAUUUAUUGGGCGUAAAGGGCGCGCAGGCGGCUGGGCAAAGUCUGGUGUGAAAACGCUACCGCUUAACGGAGCGAUUGCGCUGGAAACUGCUCAACUUGAGUGCAAGAGAGGCAAGCGGAAUACCUGGUGUAGCGGUGGAAUGCUCAGAGAUCAGGUAGAACACCUGAGGCGAAGGCGGCUUGCUGGCUUGUAACUGACGCUGAGGCGCGAAAGCGUGGGGAUCAAACGGGAUUAGAUACCCUGGUAGGCUCUGC
rnacentral:rRNA from 1 species